AACGAACGCUGGCGGCAGGCCUAACACAUGCAAGUCGAGCGCUGUAGCAAUACAGAGCGGCAGACGGGUGAGUAACGCGUGGGAACCUUCCCAGUGGUACGGAAUAGCUCAGGGAAAACUUGGGGGUAAUACCGUAUACGCCCUUCGGGGGAAAGAUUUAUCGCCAUUGGAUGGGCCCGCGUCGGAUUAGCUAGUUGGUGGGGUAACGGCCUACCAAGGCGACGAUCCGUAGCUGGUCUGAGAGGAUGAUCAGCCACACUGGGACUGAGACACGGCCCAGACUCCUACGGGUGGCAG
rnacentral:rRNA from 1 species